AUAGCUUGUCUCAAAGAUUAAGCCAUGCAUGUCUAAGUAUAAGCAAUUUAUACAGUGAAAACUGCGAAUGGCUCAUUAAAUCAGUUAUCGUUUAUUUGAUAGUUUCUUUACUACAUGGAAUACCUGUGGUAAUUCUAGAGCUAAUACAUGCUUAAAAUCCCAACUUACGAAGGGAUGUAUUUAUUAGAUAAAAAAUCAAUGUCUUCGGACUUCUGAUGAUUCAUAAUAACUUUUCGAAUCGCAUGGCUUUAUGCUGGCGAUGGUUCAUUCAAAUUUCUGCCCUAUCAACUUUUGAUGGUAGGAUAGUGGCCUACCAUGGUUUCAACGGGUAACGGGGAAUAAGGGUUCGAUUCCGGAGAGGGAGCCUGAGAAACGGCUACCACAUCCAAGGAAGGCAGCAGGCGCGCAAAUUACCCAAUCCUAAUUCAGGGAGGUAGUGACAAUAAAUAACGAUACAGGGCUUUAUGUCUUGUAAUUGGAAUGAGUACAAUUUAAAUACCUUAACGAGGAACAAUUGGAGGGCAAGUCUGGUGCCAGCAGCCGCGGUAAUUCCAGCUCCAAUAGCGUAUAUUAAAGUUGUUGCAGUUAAAAAGCUCGUAGUUGAACUUUGGGCUUGGAGAAUCGGUCCAACUUUGUUGUGUACUGUCUUCUCCAGGUCUUUCCUUCUGGUUCUCAUUUGGGGUUUACUCCAUUUGUUGAUCCAGGGAUUUUUACUUUGAAAAAAUUAGAGUGUUCAAAGCAGGCGUUUUGCUCGAAUAUAUUACAUGGAAUAAUAGAAUAGGACGAUUGGUUCUAUUUUGUUGGUUUCUAGGACCAUCGUAAUGGAUUAAAAGGGACGGCCGGGGGGCAUCAGUAUUCAGUUUGUCAAAGGUGAAAAUUCUUGGGAUUUUCUGGAAAACUAACUACCGGCGAAAACAUUUUUUUCCAGGGACGUUUUUCUUUUAUCCAAAAAACAAAAGUU
rnacentral:rRNA from 1 species